AAAACAUUGCCUCUCGACUCAACAAUGAGAGGUUCAUCCUGCCCAAUGACAACAUAGUUUAAUGGCCGCGGUACCCUGACCGUGCAAAGGUAGCAUAAUCAUUUGCCCCUUAAUUAGGGGCUAGCAUGAAAGGACACACGAAAGCUUCCCUGUCUCACAAUAACAAAUAAAAAUUAAUCUUCAAGUGAAAAAGCUUGAAUGAAACUGCAGGACAAGAAGACCCCGUUGAGCUUUAUUCUCUAUAGACUAAAUCAAAUAUUAAAUAUAUCAUAAACCUAAAAAGAAUUUAGUUGGGGUGACUAAGGAACACCAAAAACUUCCUUUUAUUAAUUAGGAUUAUUCUCCAUAUAAAUUGACCCAUUACAUAUGAUCAAAAAAAUAAGCUACCACAGGGAUAACAGGCUAAUCUUUCUCAAGAGCCCAAAUUGUCAGAAAGGAUUGGCACCUCGAUGUUGGCUUAGGGGCCCCUAAUGGUGCAGAAGCCAUAAAUGGUAGGUUUGUUCAACCUUUAAAACCCUAC
rnacentral:rRNA from 1 species